UACGUAGGGCGCAAGCGUUGUCCGGAAUUAUUGGGCGUAAAGAGCUCGUAGGCGGCUUGGCAAGUCGGGUGUGAAAUCUCUGGGCUUAACUCAGAGAGGCCACUCGAUACUGCUAAUGGCUAGAGUCCGGUAGGGGACCAUGGAAUUCCUGGUGUAGCGGUGAAAUGCGCAGAUAUCAGGAGGAACACCGGUGGCGAAGGCGGUGUCUGGGCCGGCACUGACGCUGAGGAGCGAAAGCGUGGGGAGCGAACAGG
rnacentral:rRNA from 1 species